ensembl:lncRNA SLIT2-IT1 SLIT2 intronic transcript 1
GGAAUAGCCCACUCUACACCUAGGCUAUAUGGAAUAGCCUAUUGCUCCUAGGCUUCAAACCCAUACAGCAUGGCACUAUAUGGAAUACUGUAGGCAAUUUUAACACAAUGAAUCCUGACCCUUGGGAAUGGGAUCUGGAGCCAGUGGGAAGCAUUCUCCGAAUAUGAUAAUGUGGUUAUCUUCUGACGAGUGCUGGCAUUAUCACUUGUUGCUAAAAAAACACCAGGCUUGUUCUGAGGUUCACCCGACUCCACUGCAUGUAUUACGUGCAUGUGUACCUUGGAAUGGAAAAUACAUGACUAAGCCCUGAGACAACUCUGCACUGUAUCCUGCUAUUCUUCCAACUGCAGGACCUCAUGGAGCGAGAGAUCCAAACCUUUCUGAAGUACUUUACCUUCUACCUUUUUCAUGCUACUCAGGAUUGAAUCAAUUGGAAGCCAACAAAGCCAUUCUGUGUUACUGUGCCUCCUGACUGUCAGCACGCUGCACUGUGCAUUUAGAUAAUUCUGCCAGAAGGCAUUUUUAUAAAAACAGCUUUCAAAAUCUAUUCUUGAAAAGACAUUUGUAUACUCAUUAUGCCAUUCUAUCAUUUAUCCAUAGGGAGUUCUGUAAAUAAAACACUGAGGUCUAAUACUA